rnacentral:misc_RNA from 1 species
CUCUUCCGUGUACGGAUGGGAUGGGAGUACACACGCGUCCGGGGGUCAGGUCAGGUCAGGUGAUGGUGCUAGCGCGCUACGGCUUCUUGCCGAGGGUGUGCUUGUUGUUGUGCAUCCACACCUUGAGCACGUGGCGCUUGACGCAGACCUCGUCGCAGAACUGCUGCACGGCGGCCUCGUCGUGCUUCUGGACGCGCCACCCCACGCGCUCCGCGAACGCCAGCAUCCUGUCCUUCUGCUCCUGGCUGAACUUGGUGCGGAACCGCUUCUUGCCGGACCCGCCCGAGCCGGAAGGCCCGGUGGUGCCGCCGAGGGACAUGCCGCCCAGCGGCCCCACCGCCGACGACAGCGGCCCGGCCAUCCCGGAAAAGUCGUCGUCGCCGUCGCCGUCGUCGCGCCAGCCGUGGGACGUGGACGGCAGCGCCAGCGGCCGCGGCGUGUGCCCCACGGGCACGGGCGGGGCCAUCUGCAGCGGCUGCUGGUGGAAGUACCCGGCCGGGGUGCGGCAGUACGGGGAGAAGUGGUGGUGGUGCGGCGCGGCGCUGCCGUAGGCGGCCAGCGCGGCGGGGGAGACGAGCGAGCCCGCGGCGGGCUCCUUGCGGUGGAAGUUGCGGUGGCAGCCGCACGCGGCGCAGCGGAGCGCGCCGAGCGUGCCCUCCUCGCCGGCGGGCAUAAACUCGCCGCACCCGUCCACGGCGUGGCCCCCGAUGCCCACCGCGUGGUUCUUGAGGCACUCUCGGUACCUCCCGCCGCCGCCGCCGCCGCCGCCGAGGCCGCCCGCCGGGGCCUUGGCGCGAACGCUGAGCGGCUCCACGCCGCCGCCACCGAACCCAGCUGCCAGAGGCGGGGCGUCGUAGCUGGAGCUCACCGGCAUCGGCAUCGGCAUCGGCAUCGGCGCCAUCUCCUCGUCACUGUCGUCGUGGUCGUCGAAGUCCAUGGCCGUCGAUCGGCAGCGAGCGACCGGGCGGCCGCCGGCGGUGGCAGGUGUUUCUUGUGCGUGCCUGACCUGUGUGUGGUGUGUUGAUGUGUUCUCGAGCUGUGGCAGGCGAAGAAGGUUAAGAGCGGCUUAGGAAGGUUAAGAGAGGGGGAUGAAGAGAUAAGAGACAUGGACUAUGGGGAGAGAGUGUGGACACCGUCUGGGCUGCCUGCCAGUUUUGACGCGCCGCUUUGCUGCAGGAAUGAAGGCUGGAUGCAAGCCGCUGCCGUUGGCCGUAGCUGCCUUGGCGUUGGCCUUGCUUACUAACCCUGGUUUCACUCUACUAGUAGCUAACAACAGUAUCUGCGCUCGCUUUCUCACCGCUUCCCUCAUCGAAUUCACCAUGGUCACCCAGCGGCAGCUCAGGGCCGAGCCGAC